GCCGGUUUAGCUCAGCUGGUAGAGCAACCGCCUUGUAAGCGGUAGGUCGGGGGUUCGACUCCCUCAACCGGCACCA
rnacentral:tRNA from 1 species